rnacentral:rRNA from 1 species
GACGAACGCUGGCGGCGUGCUUAACACAUGCAAGUCGAACGGAAAGGCCCUGCUUUUGUGGGGUGCUCGAGUGGCGAACGGGUGAGUAACACGUGAGUAACCUGCCCUUGACUUUGGGAUAACUUCAGGAAACUGGGGCUAAUACCGGAUAGGAGCUCCUGCUGCAUGGUGGGGGUUGGAAAGUUUCGGCGGUGGGGGAUGGACUCGCGGCUUAUCAGCUUGGUGGGGGGGUAGUGGCUUACCCACGCUUUGACGGGUAGCCGGCCUGGGAGGGUGACCGGCCACAUGGGGGCUGAGAUACGGCCCAGACUGCUACGGGGGGCAGCAGUGGGGAAUAUGGCACAAGGGGCGGAGGCCGGAUGCAGCAACGCCGCGUGCGGGAUGACGGCCUUCGGGUUGGAAACCGCUUUCGCCUGUGACGAAGCGUGAGUGACGGUAAUGGGGAAAGAAGCACCGGCUAACUACGG